CCAACGGGGUGCACCAGUGGGGAAUAUUGGACAAUGGGCGAAAGCCUGAUCCAGCAAUGCCGCGUGUGUGAAGAAGGUCUUCGGAUUGUAAAGCACUUUCGAUGGGGACGAUGAUGACGGUACCCGUAGAAGAAGCCCCGGCUAACUUCGUGCCAGCAGCCGCGGUAAUACGAAGGGGGCUAGCGUUGUUCGGAAUUACUGGGCGUAAAGCGCGCGUAGGCGGAUAGAUAAGUCAGAGGUGAAAUCCCGGGGCUCAACCCCGGAAUUGCCUUUGAUACUGUUUAUCUUGAGUGCGGAAGAGGUAAGUGGAAUUCCGAGUGUAGAGGUGAAAUUCGUAGAUAUUCGGAGGAACACCAGUGGCGAAGGCGGCUUACUGGUCUGCAACUGACGCUGAGGCGCGAAAGCGUGGGGAGCAAACAGGAUUAGAUACCCCCGUAGUC
rnacentral:rRNA from 1 species